AGCGUACACGGUGGAUGCCCUGGCAGUCAGAGGCGAUGAAGGACGUGCUAAUCUGCGAUAAGCGUCGGUAAGGUGAUAUGAACCGUUAUAACCGGCGAUUUCCGAAUGGGGAAACCCAGUGUGUUUCGACACACUAUCAUUAACUGAAUCCAUAGGUUAAUGAGGCGAACCGGGGGAACUGAAACAUCUAAGUACCCCGAGGAAAAGAAAUCAACCGAGAUUCCCCCAGUAGCGGCGAGCGAACGGGGAGGAGCCCAGAGCCUGAAUCAGUGUGUGUGUUAGUGGAAGCGUCUGGAAAGGCGCGCGAUACAGGGUGACAGCCCCGUACACAAAAAUGCACAUGCUGUGAGCUCGAUGAGUAGGGCGGGACACGUGGUAUCCUGUCUGAAUAUGGGGGGACCAUCCUCCAAGGCUAAAUACUCCUGACUGACCGAUAGUGAACCAGUACCGUGAGGGAAAGGCGAAAAGAACCCCGGCGAGGGGAGUGAAAAAGAACCUGAAACCGUGUACGUACAAGCAGUGGGAGCACCCUUUUGGGUGUGACUGCGUACCUUUUGUAUAAUGGGUCAGCGACUUAUAUUCUGUAGCAAGGUUAACCGAAUAGGGGAGCCGAAGGGAAACCGAGUCUUAACUGGGCGUUAAGUUGCAGGGUAUAGACCCGAAACCCGGUGAUCUAGCCAUGGGCAGGUUGAAGGUUGGGUAACACUAACUGGAGGACCGAACCGACUAAUGUUGAAAAAUUAGCGGAUGACUUGUGGCUGGGGGUGAAAGGCCAAUCAAACCGGGAGAUAGCUGGUUCUCCCCGAAAGCUAUUUAGGUAGCGCCUCGUGAAUUCAUCUCCGGGGGUAGAGCACUGUUUCGGCAAGGGGGUCAUCCCGACUUACCAACCCGAUGCAAACUGCGAAUACCGGAGAAUGUUAUCACGGGAGACACACGGCGGGUGCUAACGUCCGUCGUGAAGAGGGAAACAACCCAGACCGCCAGCUAAGGUCCCAAAGUCAUGGUUAAGUGGGAAACGAUGUGGGAAGGCCCAGACAGCCAGGAUGUUGGCUUAGAAGCAGCCAUCAUUUAAAGAAAGCGUAAUAGCUCACUGGUCGAGUCGGCCUGCGCGGAAGAUGUAACGGGGCUAAACCAUGCACCGAAGCUGCGGCAGCGACGCUUAUGCGUUGUUGGGUAGGGGAGCGUUCUGUAAGCCUGUGAAGGUGUGCUGUGAGGCAUGCUGGAGGUAUCAGAAGUGCGAAUGCUGACAUAAGUAACGAUAAAGCGGGUGAAAAGCCCGCUCGCCGGAAGACCAAGGGUUCCUGUCCAACGUUAAUCGGGGCAGGGUGAGUCGACCCCUAAGGCGAGGCCGAAAGGCGUAGUCGAUGGGAAACAGGUUAAUAUUCCUGUACUUGGUGUUACUGCGAAGGGGGGACGGAGAAGGCUAUGUUGGCCGGGCGACGGUUGUCCCGGUUUAAGCGUGUAGGCUGGUUUUCCAGGCAAAUCCGGAAAAUCAAGGCUGAGGCGUGAUGACGAGGCACUACGGUGCUGAAGCGACAAAUGCCCUGCUUCCAGGAAAAGCCUCUAAGCAUCAGGUAACAUCAAAUCGUACCCCAAACCGACACAGGUGGUCAGGUAGAGAAUACCAAGGCGCUUGAGAGAACUCGGGUGAAGGAACUAGGCAAAAUGGUGCCGUAACUUCGGGAGAAGGCACGCUGAUAUGUAGGUGAAGCGACUUGCUCGUGGAGCUGAAAUCAGUCGAAGAUACCAGCUGGCUGCAACUGUUUAUUAAAAACACAGCACUGUGCAAACACGAAAGUGGACGUAUACGGUGUGACGCCUGCCCGGUGCCGGAAGGUUAAUUGAUGGGGUUAGCGCAAGCGAAGCUCUUGAUCGAAGCCCCGGUAAACGGCGGCCGUAACUAUAACGGUCCUAAGGUAGCGAAAUUCCUUGUCGGGUAAGUUCCGACCUGCACGAAUGGCGUAAUGAUGGCCAGGCUGUCUCCACCCGAGACUCAGUGAAAUUGAACUCGCUGUGAAGAUGCAGUGUACCCGCGGCAAGACGGAAAGACCCCGUGAACCUUUACUAUAGCUUGACACUGAACAUUGAGCCUUGAUGUGUAGGAUAGGUGGGAGGCUUUGAAGUGUGGACGCCAGUCUGCAUGGAGCCGACCUUGAAAUACCACCCUUUAAUGUUUGAUGUUCUAACGUUGGCCCGUAAUCCGGGUUGCGGACAGUGUCUGGUGGGUAGUUUGACUGGGGCGGUCUCCUCCUAAAGAGUAACGGAGGAGCACGAAGGUUGGCUAAUCCUGGUCGGACAUCAGGAGGUUAGUGCAAUGGCAUAAGCCAGCUUGACUGCGAGCGUGACGGCGCGAGCAGGUGCGAAAGCAGGUCAUAGUGAUCCGGUGGUUCUGAAUGGAAGGGCCAUCGCUCAACGGAUAAAAGGUACUCCGGGGAUAACAGGCUGAUACCGCCCAAGAGUUCAUAUCGACGGCGGUGUUUGGCACCUCGAUGUCGGCUCAUCACAUCCUGGGGCUGAAGUAGGUCCCAAGGGUAUGGCUGUUCGCCAUUUAAAGUGGUACGCGAGCUGGGUUUAGAACGUCGUGAGACAGUUCGGUCCCUAUCUGCCGUGGGCGCUGGAGAACUGAGGGGGGCUGCUCCUAGUACGAGAGGACCGGAGUGGACGCAUCACUGGUGUUCGGGUUGUCAUGCCAAUGGCACUGCCCGGUAGCUAAAUGCGGAAGAGAUAAGUGCUGAAAGCAUCUAAGCACGAAACUUGCCCCGAGAUGAGUUCU
rnacentral:rRNA from 1 species